rfam:Hydatigera taeniaeformis genome assembly, scaffold: TTAC_scaffold0001773
AAGAUCGUACUUCUAGGGAUCACUCCUAUAGUACGCAUCACCAAGACGCCAGUCAAAACUGGUUCCGACUACCCAACCAUGAUGACGACACGUGUUGGCCCUCCGUAAGCGUGAGACGGUGUUGGGCUGUCAGCGUGUGCUGCAGCAGUGCCUCGUGGU